UGAGUUUGGUGUACUGUGUGUU
rnacentral:miRNA from 1 species